rnacentral:rRNA from 1 species
AGUGAACGCUGGCGGUAGGCCUAACACAUGCAAGUCGAACGGCAGCACAGUAAGAGCUUGCUCUUACGGGUGGCGAGUGGCGGACGGGUGAGGAAUACAUCGGAAUCUACUUUUUCGUGGGGGAUAACGUAGGUAAACUUACGCUAAUACCGCAUACGACCUACGGGUGAAAGCAGGGGAUCUUCGGACCUUUCGCGAUUGAAUGAGCCGAUGUCGGAUUAGCUAGUUGGCGGGGUAAAGGCCCACCAAGGCGACGAUCCGUAGCUGGUCUGAGAGGAUGAUCAGCCACACUGGAACUGAGACACGGUCCAGACUCCUACGGGAGGCAGCAGUGGGGAAUAUUGGACAAUAGGCGCAAGCCUGAUCCAGCCAUACCGCGUGGGUGAAGAAGGCCUUCGGGUUGUAAAGCCCUUUUGUUGGGAAAGAAAAGCAGCAGGUUAAUACCCCGCUGUUCUGACGGUACCCAAAGAAUAAGCACCGGCUAACUUCGUG